rnacentral:lncRNA from 1 species
UCCAGUGUGUUACACUGGAAGUGUGAGAUGAGUCUCGACUGAGCGAGAGCCGGAAAGACAAAGUGAUAGGCUAUGCCGGAGUCUGAAUGACAAGAUGACCGGCUAUGCCAGACCAGCGAGACGAGUCUCACAUCGCCUGGUGAUCUUAGGCUGUGUGUGUGAUUGGACUGAUGAGGAUGUUAGGACCUUAACGGGAGGAGCAUGUCACACCCCAUUAAUCCCACAUCGGAUAGGAAUGGGGAUGUAAUUGGAUAUAUAAGAUACUUAGACACUAAUAAUAAUAACUGGGCUUAAUCAUUUUGGGCUGGCGGUUGGGCCCAACGAGUUAUUAUUGAUAGUGGGUUGGGUCGUUACAGUAAAAGUAAUGGCAAGCCUCGCCCUCUUAGAGACCAAUAUUAAGUCAGAGUUCUUUUAUCUUUUCUUUUUUUUCUCUCUCUUCUUAUUUUUUAUGCAUGCCGCAUCGCGCGGGUAACUAUACUAGUAUAAAAUAGGAAAAAAUUCAAAAAAAUCCCUGUGGUUUCGUAGUUUCUUACUUUGCCCCCCUGUGGUUUAAAAUGUAUCAAAUUGUCCUCCUGUGGUUUCAUUUUUAUCUUUUCGAUAGCUUUUUCGUUAAUAUUUCAUUAAAUUAUAUACAAAAAACUUCAGACACCCAUCUAGAUUUAUCAAAUAUUCACUUUACUACCCUUUAAUUUUAACUUUAUCACUGAUUUAAGAAAAAAAAUAAUAAAAUUGAUAAGAAAAAGAGAAAAAAAGAAAUUACAGGGGGCAAAUUGAUAUAUUUUAAACCACAGGAGGGCUAAGUAAAAAACUACGAAACCACGGGGGGUUUUUUGAAGUUUUUCCUAUAAAAUAAUAG